AUGGUGAGCAAAGAGACUAAUCACUUGGUCACUGGCCAACACACCAACAGCAAGACCACCGACAAGCUGCCUGGCACCAUGACAGUGCGCUCAGUGCUGCUGAACCGCGACUCGCCGGAUAUCGAGAGCCGCUUAAAGCGCCGCCGCAACCGCACCCAGCAGGUCCGCUUCAAAGACCUGGAGGAUGGACUAGGCAGCGGGACCACUGGAGCCAAGAGCUACCAGAAGACUGCCGCUGAGUGUGACAGCCCCCACCCCUUCCGGAAGAACAGCCCCACAAGCCCCAUGGCCCCCCAAGGAUGGCUUACGGAGGCCUCGGUGGUGGGGGCAGUCCGAGGGGACAUGGCAGACACCAUUGAGGUGGUGGCGGCAUUUUUGGCUCGGGCGCCCCCUCACCCGCUAACCCCAGGGCCCACGCGCCGCUGCUGGGCACCACCACCAUCACCCCCACUGCCGUGCUCACUCACGCUGCCCCUCUCCCAGAGGCAGUGCACUAGCAUGGCCAUCCAGACCUCCCCCUGCUUCCAGAAGUCCAAGCCCUCCGUGCUCUCAAAUGUCCGCAGCGUGGGGGACUCGGUGGGCGUGGAUGGGGACGACAAACAGGACAACGAACAUGAUGAGUACUACACUACCCACAACUACCUUUCAGAGCCUGCAUCCAGAGAUGGAAACGGCCGUGGGUUUAAGGCUAAGCAGGGAUUGGUGAACCAAACCCAGUGCCUCAGGACUAGUGAGGCUAACGCUAGCUCCCUUGCUGUUGGGAAUCACAUGGACUCUUCCUGGCAUAACUCUUCUUGUUUUUCCCCUCCUGAAUGCCAGGGGAGUGCAACUCCGUCCCAAGUGAGGAGGAGAAGGCGCAUAAACAAUGCAAUCAGUGACCCAGGAAGGGAGGUGUCCUACUGUACCACUCCAACACAGACGGAGAGUCCCUGUGUCUCCCCUCCUAACACCCCACCUCCAUUGUCAGUGCAGCCCUGCACCUGCCCACCUCCCUCGACUGUGGGACCAUCCACCUCCUCACCUCCCUCGACUGUGGGACCCUCCACCUCCCCACCUCCCUCGACUGUGGGACCCUCCACCUCCCUAUCUCCCUCGACUGUGGGACCCUCCACCUCCCCAACUCCCUCGACUGUGGAACCCUCCACCUCCCCAUAUCCCUCAACUGUGCAGACCUGCACUACCCAAACACAAACUGACAGACCCUCCACCUCCCCACCUCCCUCGACUGUGGGAUCCUCCACAUCCCCAUCUCCCUCUGCUGUGGGACCCUCCACCUACCCACCUCCCUUGUCUGUGCAGGCCUGCACCACCCAAACACAAACUGACUGUCCCUCCACCUUCCCACCUCCCUCGACUUUGAGACCCUCUAUCUCCUCACCUCCUACUGUGCCCUCCACCUCCCAAACUCAGACUGUGCUUCACUAUGCCUCCUUACCUAAAACUGUGCUAACCUCCACCCAUCCAGGUUGUGGAAUUCCCCCUCUGGUGGUUCUGCCUUGCGUCUCCCAGAAUGAGUCCACCUGUACAUCUCCCCCCAGAAAAUCUGUGCUUCUGCCAACUGUGCUUCCAUCUAAAGCUCAAACCACUCCACAUCACACUACACAAACUGAACCUGUUCCACCCUGUACCUCCCUGAUUCAAACCAAACCAACAUGCACCACCACAACUACAACCAAAGCCUCAAUUCCAAAUUGGCCCACCCAAUCACCAACUCCAACGAUAGCCCCGUACUCAGCCCCAUCUUGCUCCACCACCUCGACUCCAACUCCAACGAUAGCCCCCUACUCAGCUCCAACAUUCUCCGCCACCCCGACUCCACUCAAACGAUAG
rnacentral:lncRNA from 1 species